GACGAACGCUGGCGGCGUGCUUAACACAUGCAAGUCGAACGGAGUGGCGAACGGGUGAGUAACACGUGGGUGAUCUGCCUUGCACUUCGGGAUAAGCUUGGGAAACUGGGUCUAAUACCGGAUAGUGCAAGAUGAGCUCGCGGCCUAUCAGCUUGUUGGUGGGGUAAUGGCCUACCAAGGCGUCGACGGGUCGCCGGCCUGAGAGGGUGUACGGCCACAUUGGGACUGGGGAACAGGCCAGACGCCUACGGGAGGCAGCAAUGGGGAAUAGUGCACAAUGGGCGGAAGGCGGAUGCAGCGAUGCCGCGUGGGGGAGGAAGGCCUUCGGGUUGUAAACUCCUUACGACAGGGACGCGGUACCUGUAUAAGAAGCACCGGCUAACUACGUGCCAGCAGCCGCGGUAAUAC
rnacentral:rRNA from 1 species